GGUAGCUAUGUUUGGUUCUGAUAAGCGCUGAAAGCAUAUAAGCGCGAAGCAGGCUUCAAGAUUAAGUAUCGUAGAUUCCUCGAAGAUUACGAGGUUGAUAGGGCUCAGAUGUAAGCACAGCAAUGUGUUGAGUCGAGAGCUACUAAUAAAUCAUUUUUAAUGAGUAA
rnacentral:ncRNA from 1 species